GAAUCUGCACAUAAUUAAUUCCUCAUAUUACAGUAGCCCAAGAAUUCAUUCUUCUAUUGGAUGGCGACGGAUCUGCCAUCCACACAAAAAGUAGCAUUUAGUGAGGAGAUCGGAAGAGCACACG